AUGGCGCGCCACAGACGUGGCGGAGCGGUUUCGGCUGUGUGCCGAGAUCAUACAGGUCUAUAUUUGGGCUCCUCGGCGGUGGUCUUCAAAGGAAUCACUGAUCCCACAACCUUGGAAACAUUGGCCUGCAGGAAGGCGUUAGCACUUGCAGUUGAUCUACAUGAAACAAAUCUGAUAGUAGCUUCGGACUGCCAAGGUGUGGUGAUGGAUUUAAACCAAGGGACAGGAGGUCCACACUCGGCCAUUAUUCAUGAAAUAAUGGACCGAAGGAACACUUUUGCUUCGGUUUCUUUCAUUCACGAGCGGAGAAACCAUAACUUCGAAGCUCAUAAUCUCGCCAAAUUUUCUUGUAAUUUAGGAGUAGAUCGGCACGUCUGGUUGGGAAUUCCCCAUGACGAACACCGUGUACCUAUGAACAUUGUUGCUUCUUAA
rnacentral:rRNA from 1 species